GAUCAUGGCUCAGGAUGAACGCUAGCUACAGGCUUAACACAUGUAAGUCGAGGGGCAUCAGGAAGAAAGCUUGCUUUCUUUGCUGGCGACCGGCGCACGGGUGAGUAACACGUAUCCAACCUGCCCUUUACUCGGGGAUAGCCUUUCGAAAGAAAGAUUAAUACCCGAUGGCAUAAUGAUUCCGCAUGGUUUCAUUAUUAAAGGAUUCCGGUAAAGGAUGGGGACGCGUUCCAUUAGGUUGUUGGUGAGGUAACGG
rnacentral:rRNA from 1 species